CCCUUAGAUGUUCUGGGCUGCACGCGCGCUACACUGAAGCUAUCAACACGUUUUCCCUCCCUGAGAAGGGCGGGUAACCUUUUGAAUCAGCUACGUGGUAGGGAUCGGGGCUUGCAAUUGUUCCCCGUGAACCAGGAAUUCCUAGUAGACGCGAGUCAUAAGCUCGCAUCGAUUAAGUCCCUGCCCUUUGUACACACCGCCCGUCGCUACUACCGAUUGAACGUUUUAGUGAGGCAUUUGGACCGACGCAUCUCAGUUUAACCGCUGGUUUGUGUUGGAAAGACCUCCAAACUUGAGCGUUUAGAGGAAGUAAAAGUCGUAACA
rnacentral:rRNA from 1 species